rnacentral:lncRNA from 1 species
ACUCGCCGUCUUCCCGAGGUCCCUCUAGAUCUCCCCUAUCACGACCUCGAGUUUCGACACUUUCGCGGAGUCUGAAUCCUUGACAGCCGUCAGCAUGGCCUCGGUUUCAGACCAUCUACCCUGCAGCUCCACCAACUCCCCAGCAAGACGACUGGUCUCAGAACCGCACUCGCUGAUCAUCCCAUUGAUCAACGACAUGAACUGCGAAACGAGAAAAAAGUAAAAAAAAAAUAUAAAACUAAGUCCGAGAGAGAAUGUAUAUAUAACGAUCAAGAAGAUCAAGUGAGCGACAAACCUUUCCGCGAAUUCCCGACGCUACCCUCGAGCCUCCUUGCUGCGAAGAUUCCCCGACAUUACCCUUGGUAAGCUUUCUCUUCCGGCCCUUAGGCUGAGCAACCAGAACAGCACUAGGAGCACGCAACGCUAGAACGAUUUCUUUCCUGGACGGAGGAGGAGGCAUAGAGUCAGCAGCCCUCUCCUUAUCCUCGACAAUGAUCAGAGUCGUGGACGAUCCGCCAGGUAGAGCCUGAGCAUCUGGAAUGCCCGAGCCUGCGACCUCGGUCCCGUGACCCGGGGAAAUGGCCCGCGCAGAAGAAGACGGGAACUCGGUGCCAGCUCGAACCAGUUCCUUCUCGGCUUGGCGACAAACUAGUCUCUCUCGGAAGGAGAGAUGGUCAGCAACACAACCGGCGCUUCAAACGGAAAAGUCAGAAUCGG